GGGGGCGCGCGGCUGCAGCGCCGCGCGCGGCUGCAACGCCGCUCCCGGCCGUGUCCGCCAGGCGGCGACUGUGAGGCAGGGCCCGGCGCUCGGGGGCGCUCUCGCAAGCGACGCCCCCGGGAAAGCGGCGGGGUUUGGGCACUGCCGGCCUUCCCCCGGAGUGCCCGGGCUGGCCCGGCGCCUGGCAAAACCUCUGAGGGAAAAGGCAAGCAACAACUGCGCUUCUUCUGCCCUUUCUUUAGCCAGGGACUGGAACACAGACAAAAUCGAGGGGCUCUUUGACCUGGGCAGGCUCCGAGCAUUUUUCAGCCUUCCCUAGCAGGGCAUUCUCACCCUCUGAAAAGCUGAAAGGCUUUAACAGCUGGAGACGCGCCUGCAGCUGUGCGAAUUAAUGUAGUUUCUUUUAGGAAACGAAGGGGAAGUUUUCCUGUUGUGAGCUUAAAUACCGAGUCUGCUCUGCUUUUUCCAUCAGGUGACGAAGCUUAUGGAAAAAAAGACCAAAGGCCUCGAGGGAUGUUAUUCUUGACCCCCCGGGGCAAACGGAGGUGUUCACCUGGUCAGCGUCAGGAGCCAUCCUACCUGAGGCCCUGGCUCCCUCUUUCCCUUCGGUUGCCACGUGUGUGCCGGACACCUCUGGCAGGACUAACCCUGUGGCUUUUAUGUCCAGCGUGCUGUGUGCCUGCAGUAUCCUGUCCAAGACCAAGCUACCUUUCCUCAUUGGAAUGGACUGGCCGGGCUUUGGCAGUCUGGCCCCUCGAAAGACUAAAGUGACCUCUUCCAGCAGGGGAAGACUUUCUGGCAAGCGGUACCAGAAAGAACUGGAGUUUCUGGAGAAUAAAAGCUGGAGGUGUGCCCCCGAUAAUCCUCGCCCCGGGUGGUGAGUGGUCUGACUUGCAGGGAGCGGUGGCCUUGGCCAGGAGCGGUCCUGCCGGACUGUAAUUUUAAUUUCCUGCCCAGGCUGUAAUUUUAAUUUCCCUUGGAUGCUUGGCAAAGCCCUUCUGGGGGAGCCCUAGUGCCUGGCAUGAGCGGAGCGGGCUUCCAGGGAGGUAUUCACCUGGUCAGCGUCAGGAACCAUCCUCCCUGAAGCCUCGGCUCCCUCUUUCCCUUCGGUUGCCGUGGAUGUGCCGGACACCUCUGGCAGGACUAACCCUGUGGCUUUUAUGUCCAACGUGCUGUGUGCCUGCAGGUAAGAAAAGCUGGGAGUGCAGUCCCUCUGCUUUGCUUGCUGUGUCUCUUGGGUAGUGAUUUUGGAGGGGAAUCCCAGAGCGAUUUGGUUUGAAGGGGACCUUCAAAGGCCA